AAGUCAGUUCUCUGCCUCAACAAGAAUGGAGUGCUCGAACGAAAAUUUUAGCAGAGAUUCUAGGUAAAAAUGAGAGCUUAUAGAAUAACGUAUCUGGGAUCCCCUUUUAUAGGCGUAGGGGGCUGUAAGCUGAUAGCGACAUCUGUAACCAUUUGGUCAUGGGCUGCCCAGGGUCAGGUGGAGUUUGUUGCGAAGAGUAGUGGAG
rnacentral:lncRNA from 1 species